AUGCAGGUCAGCUCAGGGCUGCUCCUUCAGUCACUCUUCUCGCCCUCCUCUGAGGAGCUCCAGACCAAAAUUACCACACUGGUGUAUCUGAUGAAUGACUUCUACCCUAGUGAUGUGACUGUGGCUUGGAAGGCAGAUGCCCCUUCAGUCACUCAGAGUGUGGAGACUGCAGGUUGUCCUGGGCUGUGGCAUGUAAAGGGGUUUGUGUGCAAGUCUAUGUCACUGUGUUAUGUGUUCGGUGGAGGAACCCAGCUGACUGUCCUCGGUCAGGCCAAGGCUGGUCCCUCAGUCACCCUAUUUCCACCUUCCUCUGAGGAGCUCCAAACCAACAAGGCCACACUGGUUUGUUUGGUGAAUGACUUCUACCCAGGUUCUGUGACAGUGGCCUGGAAGGCAGAUGGCACCCCAGUCACCCAGGGAGUGGAGACCACCAAGCCCUCCAAACAGAGCAAUAACAAGUACAUGGCCAGCAGCUACUUGUCUAUGACACCUGGCCAGUGGAAUUCUGGCAAGGCAUAUAGCUGUCAUGUCACACAUGAAGGCAGCACUGUGGAGAAGAGUGUGUCUUCUUCGGAUUGUUCCUAGUGCCCUGACUUCCCCCAAACCUCGGGGACCUAUAGCUGAAUGGUGCCGAGUUGGGGUGUUCCAUUCCAUUCAUCAUAUUCAAGCCCUUAUCUAGG